rnacentral:rRNA from 1 species
UGGGCGUAAGAGCUCGUAGGCGGUUUGUCGCGUCUGCCGUGAAAGUCCGGGGCUUAACUCCGGAUCUGCGGUGGGUACGGGCAGACUUGAGUGAUGUAGGGGAGACUGGAAUUCCUGGUGUAGCGGUGAAAUGCGCAGAUAUCAGGAGGAACACCGAUGGCGAAGGCAGGUCUCUGGGCAUUAACUGACGCUGAGGAGCGAAAGCAUGGGGAGCGAACAGGAUUAGAUACCCUGGUAGUCCAUGCCGUAAACGUUGGGCACUAGGUGUGGGGGACAUUCCACGUUUUCCGCGCCGUAGCUAACGCAUUAAGUGCCCCGCCUGGGGAGUACGGCCGCAAGGCUAAAACUCAAAGGAAUUGACGGGGGCCCGCACAAGCGGCGGAGCAUGCGGAUUAAUUCGAUGCAACGCGAAGAACCUUACCAAGGCUUGACAUGAACCGGAACGGCGCAGAGAUGUGUCGGCCACUUGUGGCCGGUUUACAGGUGGUGCAUGGUUGUCGUCAGCUCGUGUCGUGAGAUGUUGGGUUAAGUCCCGCAACGAGCGCAACCCUCGUUCCAUGUUGCCAGCGGGUUAUGCCGGGGACUCAUGGGAGACUGCCGGGGUCAACUCGGAGGAAGGUGGGGACGACGUCAAAUCAUCAUGCCCCUUAUGUCUUGGGCUUCACGCAUGCUACAAUGGCCGGUACAAAGGGUUGCGAUGCUGUGAGGUGGAGCUAAUCCCAAAAAGCCGGUCUCAGUUCGGAUUGAGGUCUGCAACUCGACCUCAUGAAGUCGGAGUCGCUAGUAAUCGCAGAUCAGCAACGCUGCGGUGAAUACGUUCCCGGGCCUUGUACACACCGCCCGUCAAGUCACGAAAGUUGGUAACACCCG